GGCUCGGUAGCUUAGUUGGUAAAGCGCUCGUAUAGAAUAUAAGAGUCCUGGGCUUGAAUCCCAGCCGAGCAC
rfam:Aedes aegypti strain Liverpool supercont1.42 genomic scaffold, whole genome shotgun sequence.